UAAGCGGAGGAAAAGAAACUAACAAAGAUUGCCCUAGUAACGGCGAGUGAACCGGCAAAAGCCCAAAGUGUAAAUCUGUGGCAGUCUCUGCCACCGAAUUGUAAUCUAAAGGGGUAGGCUUAAAGACUAUGACGACGCAUAAGUCGCUAGGAAUGGCGCGCCAGAGAGGGUGAAAGCCCCGUUCAUGGCGUCGUCUGGUCUCGAGGUCGCCUUCAACGAGUCGGGUUGUUUUGUACUGCAGCCCUAAGUGGGAGAUAAACUUCUUCUAAGGCUAAAUAUUUACGGGAAACCGAUAGCAAACAAGUACUGUGAAGGAAAGAUGAAAAGAACUUUGAAAAGAGAGUUAAAAGACUUGAAAUCGUUGAGAAGGAAGCGGUAGAAACUAAUUAUUUGGUUAAGACGUGUCGGGUAGCGUUUGAAUCGGUAGUGUUCAGUACCUCCAAAGGCUGAUGCUGCCGCGUAGAGCGUGAACUGCUUCGUCAUGRCCAAUAAGCAAAGUGGGAUUGGGACUACGGAUAUUCUACCUAAGAGCUUGGGGCGUGCUCCAAACUUAGGCAAGAGGACGUAGCUCUAGUCUGAGGGGCUUCGGCGACUUUGCUAAAAUGGUUUCUACCGGCCCGUCUUGAAACACGGACCAAGGAGUCUAAC
rnacentral:rRNA from 1 species